GUGGGAAUCUACCUUGGGGUACGGAAUAACGCAGAGAAAUUUGUGCUAAUACCGUAUAAUGACUUCGGUCCAAAGAUUUAUCGCCCUUAGAUGAGCCCGCGCAAGAUUAGCUAGUUGGUGAGGUAAAAGCUCACAAAGGCGACGAUCUUUAGCUGGUCUGAGAGGAUGAUCAGCCACACUGGGACUGAGACACGGCCCAGACUCCUACGGGAGGCAGCAGUGGGGAAUAUUGGACAAUGGGCGAAAGCCUGAUCCAGCAAUGCCGCGUGAGUGAUGAAGGCCUUAGGGUUGUAAAGCUCUUUUACUAGGGAUGAUAAUGACAGUACCUAGAGAAUAAGCUCCGGCUAACUCCGUGCCAGCAGCCGCGGUAAUACGGAGGGAGCUAGCGUUGUUCGGAAUUACUGGGCGUAAAGCGCGCGUAGGCGGUUAUCCAAGUCAGAGGUGAAAUCCCGGAGCUUAACUCCGGAACUGCCUUUGAAACUAGAUAACUAGAAUCUUGGAGAGGCGAGUGGAAUUCCGAGUGUAGAGGUGAAAUUCGUAGAUAUUCGGAAGAACACCAGUGGCGAAGGCGACUCGCUGGACAAGUAUUGACGCUGAGGU
rnacentral:rRNA from 1 species